GAGGGUAUAGCUCAGUGGUAGAACAUUCGUCUGGUAAUCGAGAGGUUCCCCGUUCAAACCCGGGUGUCCUCU